GCCGGGUGUGGUGGCACGCGCCUGUAAUCCCAGCUACUCAGAAGGCUGAGCCCGGAGCAAUUCUUGAGUCCAGGAGUUAUGGGCCACAGUGCGCUAUGCUGAUUGGGUGUCCGCACUAAGUUUGGCAUCAGUAUGGUGACCUCCUGGGAGCGGGGGAACACCAGGUUGCCUAAGGAGGGGUGAACCGGCCCAGGUCGGAAACGGAGAAGGUCAAAACUCCCGUGCUGAUCUGCUUGAAUUAUUUGUUGUUCUGCUCAUUCUCAUAUAUGUCUGUCAUUGAUUAUAAGACCUUAUUCCCCAUUUU
rfam:Dipodomys ordii contig_74811, whole genome shotgun sequence.